GAUGAACGCUGGCGGCGUGCUUAACACAUGCAAGUCGAACGGAAAGGCCCAAGCUUGCUUGGGUACUCGAGUGGCGAACGGGUGAGUAACACGUGGGUGAUCUGCCCUGCACUUCGGGAUAAGCCUGGGAAACUGGGUCUAAUACUGGAUAGGACCACUUCUUGGAUGGUGUGGUGGAAAGUUUUUUCGGUGUGGGAUGAGCUCGCGGCCUAUCAGCUUGUUGGUUGGGUAAUGGCCUACCAAGGCGUCGACGGGUAGCCGGCCUGAGAGGGUGUACGGCCACAGUUGGACUGAGAGACGGCCCAGACUCCUACGGGAGGCAGCAAGUGGGAAUAUGGCACAAUGGGGGCAAGCCUGAUGCAGGGACGCCGCGUGGUGGAUGACGGCCUUGGGGUUGUAAUCUCCUCUCGCUAGGGACGAAGCGUUUUUGUGACGGUACCUGGAGAAGAAGCACCGGCUAACUACGUG
rnacentral:rRNA from 1 species